GUGAGGAAUAUUGGUCAAUGGGCGAGAGCCUGAACCAGCCAAGUCGCGUGAAGGAUGAAGGUUUUAUGAAUUGUAAACUUCUUUUGCAGGGGAAUAAAGUACGGUACGUGUACCGUUUUGUAUGUACUCUGCGAAUAAGGAUCGGCUAACUCCGUGCCAGCAGCCGCGGUAAUACGGAGGAUCCAAGCGUUAUCCGGAUUUAUUGGGUUUAAAGGGUGCGCAGGCGGGUUGAUAAGUCAGCGGUGAACGUUUGCAGCUUAACUGUAAAAUUGCCGUGGAAACUGUGAAGCUAGGAUUUGGUUGCUGUGGGCGAAAUGUGUGGUGUAGCGGUGAAAUGCAUAGAUAUCACACAGAAUAUCGAUUGCGAAGGCAGCUCACAAAGCCAAUAUUCACGCUGAGGCACGAAAGUGUGGGGAUCAAACAGGAUUAGAUACCCUGGUAGUCC
rnacentral:rRNA from 1 species